rnacentral:rRNA from 1 species
CACUCCUACGGGAGGCAGCAGUGGGGAAUUUUGGACAAUGGGCGAAAGCCUGAUCCAGCAAUGCCGCGUGUGUGAAGAAGGCCUUCGGGUUGUAAAGCACUUUUGUCCGGAAAGAAAUCCUUGGCUCUAAUACAGUCGGGGGAUGACGGUACCGGAAGAAUAAGCACCGGCUAACUACGUGCCAGCAGCCGCGGUAAUACGUAGGGUGCGAGCGUUAAUCGGAAUUACUGGGCGUAAAGCGUGCGCAGGCGGUUUGCUAAGACCGAUGUGAAAUCCCCGGGCUCAACCUGGGAACUGCAUUGGUGACUGGCAGGCUAGAGUAUGGCAGAGGGGGGUAGAAUUCCACGUGUAGCAGUGAAAUGCGUAGAGAUGUGGAGGAAUACCGAUGGCGAAGGCAGCCCCCUGGGCCAAUACUGACGCUCAUGCACGAAAGCGUGGGGAGCAAACAGGAUUAGAUACCCGUGUAGUCCCAUGA